ACCACACUGGCUCUCUGGGUAGCUCUGUUGGUUAGAGCAUGUUGCUGAUAACACCAAGGUCGCAGGUUCAAUUCGCAUGUGGGA